AGCCGGGGAAUUAGCGGUUCCCUGUACCUGCAAUCCGCUACAGCAGGGGUGAUGUUCUGCCUCGGACUUUAUGGAGCAGUAUGCAGCCCUUUGCAAGCAGCAUAGACGCCUGGGUCUUGCGCAACAGGAAUCUGUGAACCGAGUCAGGUCAGGAAUGGAGCAGCUCUAAGCAGAACCUCCUGUGUGCCGCGAGGUCGCCUGGGCCGAGCCGGCUACAGAGGUA
rnacentral:SRP_RNA from 1 species